CUGUCUGUGGGAAUGACCUGGCUAUGGCUCAGUGUAGUCCUAAUUAAGGUGUCUUUUACUCCGUGUUCCCAGGCUGCCUCUUUCCCUUCGGUCGCCGUGUGUGCGGACGCCUCUGGCAGGACUAACCCUGUGGCUUUUAUGUCCAACGUGCUGUGCUGUGUGUGCCUGCAGAGCCCCUCUGGGUGAGCCCCAGUGCCUGGCAGGAGCAGAGCGGGCUUCCAGGGAGGUAUUCACCUGGUCAGCGUCAGGAACCAUCCUACCUGAGGCCUCGGCUCCCUCUUUCCCUUCGGUCGCCGUGGGUGUGCCGGACGCCUCUGGCAGGACUAACCCUGUGGCUUUUAUGUCCAACGUGCUGUGCUGUGUGUGCCUGCAGAAUUGCCACGAGAGGAAAUACUUCAGAGGGGCUUCCCUCCAGAUAAGGCCUGAAGAUGCCAGGAGGUUUCAGCCGGGAGGAAAGGAGCUGUGGAAGAAAAGCAGCCUAAAAACAGCCAGUGGGGAUCAUCAGGUUUUCCAGCCAAGAAGAACAAGGAGAGAGAUGAGGGAAUCGGGUUCCAAUUCCUAAUGCUUUGGUGGGUGCAGGAAUGAUUUCUGUGUGUUUUCCAGUCCCUUUGGAUUCCUGGGAUGAUUUUAAAAUGAUGGCUUUAGCAAUCAACUAAAUCGCAGAUGUUGUUUUUGAGAGGAAAUGAUGCCAAAGAAAUGCAGAGUUUUGGGUCAGUUUUGGGGAUGAUUUGGGUCAGUUUUUGGGGUCAGUUUGGGGUCAUUGUUUGGGGUGAUUUGGGUCAGCUUUUGGGAUGAUUUGGGUCAGUUUUGGGUCAGCUUUUGGGAUGAUUGGGGUCAGGUUUUGGGGUCAGUUUUGGGUCAGCUUUUGGGGUGAUUUGGGUCGGUUUUGGGUCAAUUUUUGGGGAGCACUGGGUGUUACUGGGGGUUGUUGAGGAGCACUGGGUGUUACUGGGGUGUACUGGGGAGCACUGGGUGUUACUGAGGGUUGUUGGGGAGCACUGGGUGUUACUGGGGAGCACUGGGAGAGAAAAUGAAAAAUAAAGAGAAUAAAAAAUAAACGAAGUAAAGAAGG
rnacentral:lncRNA from 1 species